rnacentral:rRNA from 2 species
ACAGGGAUUGCCCUAGUAACGGCGAGUGAAGCGGCAACAGCUCAAAUUUGAAAUCUGGCGUCUUCGGCGUCCGAGUUGUAAUUUGCAGAGGGCGCUUUGGCAUUGGCAGCGGUCCAAGUUCCUUGGAACAGGACGUCACAGAGGGUGAGAAUCCCGUACGUGGUCGCUAGCCUUUACCGUGUAAAGCCCCUUCGACGAGUCGAGUUGUUUGGGAAUGCAGCUCUAAAUGGGAGGUAAAUUUCUUCUAAAGCUAAAUACUGGCCAGAGACCGAUAGCGCACAAGUAGAGUGAUCGAAAGAUGAAAAGCACUUUGGAAAGAGAGUUAAAAAGCACGUGAAAUUGUUGAAAGGGAAGCGCUUGCAGCCAGACUUGCCUGUAGUUGCUCAUCC